rnacentral:lncRNA from 1 species
UUCCCAAACUGCCCCCGGGGAUAGAGUGGGGGAGUGCGGGGCGCUCCGAGGCGCGCUCCCACGCGCGCACACCCAGCCCCAGGCUUCCCCUUCCCUCUCUCCACUCCCCACGCCCUGCAGCGAAACGGCCCCAGAAGCCCCUCUCCGAGGCGCGAGUUCGGUUUGGUUCUGGCAGGGGCUUUGCAGCUGUCCGGAAGGUGAAGUCAGCCUUGUGUCCUGAGGAGAAACUGGAGAUGCAGGUCGCUGUGCCCUCCCGCUGCUACGUCGCUGCGCCGGAUCCUGCCAUCCUUCCGCAAGGGGUGAGAGCGGGAACAGCCCUGCCCUGCCUUCCAGGUAUUAUCUAGCCUGGAGGCUGGAGCGCAAGGUAACGCUCCGGGAAGUGGCACUCGGGUCCCCGCACACGGGCGAGUCCUCAGCAGUUCAGUGGACAGACCCGCAGGACGCGGCUGCCAAGUCCGCGAGGCAAGGACCAGGCAUCUUCCCGCGCCUCACUCCAGCCUGCGGACUGUGACUUUCCAUCCCAGUAUCAGACAAGCUCGCGAGUAACUGAACAUCCUUUCCAGUCCAUGGGUGGGGUGUGGAAAGGGCGUAAAACUCCAAAGUGGCUCCUCCGCGGUGAGCGAGCUGCCCCGGGGCUCUGCCUGACUGCAGCGCGAAGCCUGGGAGAACAAACCCAGUUCCCUCCGUCAAGAAAUUUCCAUUUAAGUCCGAGAAAGUCAUAUGAUUGAGAAGUUCAGCAGCGGCGGCGAGGACCCAGUGUCUGGGAAAGAACACCUGGAGGAUGGGGUGUCCAGGACGCCGGCUUUUCGGGGUUCCGACCCCACCCACCUUAUGUUGUAACAUACAAGCUUAGAGACCUGUUGCAAGGAACAACUGACUGGGUCUUCCACCACCCCUGGCACCCGGGUGGCCCAAAGCCUAUGCGCCCUUGGCGGAGAGAGAGGCCACGGUGCCACUGGCCGCAGCCUCUGGCCUUCAGAAACAGUGUAUUACAAAGAAAAGGCAGUUUAAAUCUCACAUUCAGCAUAGGGAAAACUGAAGGGUGCCAGGCUCGGGGACUUCUUCCAACAGAGUGGCUCUUCCCCAAAUAUGAAAGAAAAUCAUCAAAUUAAAUUGAAGGCAAAACUAAGCUUCCACCACAAAGACAUAGCAGAUAGUUGCAAGGUGGAUUCCUUCGGGCCUUUUCCUUUCCUAAGGCUAAAACAAUGCUAAGACAAAAGUCUUCUUGCAGCUGUCUCCGCCCCUCCGAGAUAAAUACUUUCCCAAUUCUCCCCCACCCUGUACACACACCCACGCCCGCGGCAGCUGAUUUCUGUCUUCUGCAAUAGCUCGAUUUAAAUGCUUUGCUUUUACUCUUUAUUAUCACUAUUAUUUGUGUGAAGCCCUCUCGCCUGCUCCUGGUCACCAGCAGGAGCCUGCUUCCCUCCCUCCUUCCCCCCAAGCCUCUGGGCAGCAGAAGCUAGCUGGGAGCUCUGUGCAGCUGGCGGCGACGCCAUGUGACUGUGAGCCGAGCACCAUCACCCAGAGUCACUCUCUAGCUUUCCCCUAAUACACUUCACACCCACGCACUGUGGAGGUGCGAGAGAGGUUGCUCCGUGCGGUGCUAUUCGAGGCAGAUGCAGAGAGCGCCCUGGAGUAAGCUCUCCAAUCCUAGAGCUGCGCGGGACCCUGACUGAAGGCGGAGGGGGCGGGAGGGGGUGCUGUUGCUAUAUUUAGACUCCCUAUGGAGUUUCUGUGCAGGGACUUUCAGGGUGAAAGAUCUAGAGACUUAAAAUGACUCGUGUGCCCGCUUUAAACGUCAAAAUCUUGGCCUUUCUGCAAGCAGUAAAAUGAAAACCACUUCCUCUUAACUUAGCUGUUUUCCUUGUUGCAGACUGCUACUUUCGCUGGGUAGGUAAAGUCACUUCCAUCUCUCUGGCGCGGCUGGGCCCCGCGUGCAGGCAAGAAGUCUCAGGAAGGCAGGACACAGGGACACGUUUCCCUGGAAGACAGCCAGCUGUUUAAUUUCUAAGUGAUGCUUUUCUGGGGAUGCAGCAUUAGUUCUAGUGAAACUGUAUUAUUGAUUAAGCAAAUGCCAUUUAAGCUUAAUUAAAAAAUAAAAAAGACCCGGUUACUGGUAGCCGUUUUGAGCUGCUGAGAAGGACCUUUCACUUAUGUCUUCUAGAGUAACCGCCAUUUGGAUACACAGCCCAGAAAAAGAGGGCCUGCUCAAGUUUUCGCGGGUAGUGUGAGAGUUACUAGGAAUCCAACAACCUGGCUUCCUAGUUCACUGUUCCUUCCACCAAUCAAUCUGCAUCUCCAGCAGAGAAUGGAUAAAAUAGCAAACAGUUCUGGGGUUUUGUAUCAAUCUCUGACUGCAACCAUUGGGAAAGACUGGCUUAGCUGAAGUUCUAACCUUCCUACCUUUCAAUGCCCAGAAAGAAAAAGCCAAAAAUUAAUCAGAGAACCCAGGACAACGUCAGAGAUCAUAUGAGCCUCACCAGACUGCAUGAGAGUCAUAACACAGUAGGAGUCCCAGGCCUACCUCACAUGGCAAAUGGGACAGUGUUCUUCAGAACAACCUCUGCCCCAGGGAUGCAGAAAGGAGGGUUUCACUAUGUUGGCCAGUCUGGUGUUGAACUCCUCACCUCAAAUGAUCUGCCCACCUUGGCCUCCCAAAGCGUUGGAGUUACAGACGUGAGCCACCGCGCCCAGCUGGAGAAGAUGUGAAAUUUUGAGAGCUGACCAUACUUUGAGAAUAAUAAGUAGUUGGAUUCUACUGAAGCCCAGUGGCUUUUGGAGGUGUAGCAAUAAGCAGGAGGCAGCAGAAGUAAGACAAGGGCUGUAUGACAAAGUCUUGGCAAGAACUUUGAAUUUUAUCCUGAUGUGAGUGGGGAGAGCCACUGAAGAACGUGAAGCCAGAAACACUACAUGUUACUACUUCUACUUUCAGAAAAGGCUUAAUAUGGAUUAUACACCUACAAGUGGCACACACUGUUCCAAGUGGAGACUCAAAGAUGAUAACGAUACAGUGUUUAUGCUAUAGGUUUGUGAAGCUACCAAUCCAUGGACAGAUGUUAAACCUAACUUCCAAUUUCAGGUACAAAUAUCUGAGUAAAUGAUGGUAUCAUUUACUCAAUCAGUAAAGGUCAAAGAGAAGGCAGUCUGAAGAAGGGAAAGGUGUUCAAUUUUGCAUUGAGUUUGACAUACCUGUUGAGACAGCUCAGUGGAGAUAUCCAGUUGAUGCUUGGAUAUAUGGACUUACAGCUCAGGGGGAGCUAGAAAUUGAAAUUUGAGAAUCAUCAACCUAUAUUUAUAAUGGGUGAAAUCAAUAAGUCGGAAUCAAAUUACCUGGGGAAGCAUGCAGAUUUGUUUAAAAAGGAAGAGGCCUGAGAACCCAACCCUGGUAAGCAUGACCAUUCAGGAUAAGAGAGAAGGAGCAAGUAGGGAAAGAGACUGAAAUAAAGAAACCUGAGUAACCACUGAGGACCACUGCUACAAUAGAGAAAAAGGAACUUCAUUAGGGAAAUGCCUGAAAGCGAAUAAGGUAAGGAUUUUGGAUUUAGCAACAAAGAGGUCAUUUGAAGAAGUUGUUUUUAUUUUUAUUUCCUUGCAGAAUUGUAGAAAUAGAAAUCAAAUCAGAGUGAGCAGAGAAACAAUUUGAAGAUAAGGGAAUGGAGAUAAUUAUUUUAAAGUGGGAGAAGCAAGCAGAAGAUUUAGGUUUGAAGAAGGCACUAUACAAAAUAAUGUUGAUUCACUUGAGACUUGAGUGGCUGUUACAGCCACUCUCACAGGUCCCGAGGCUGAGCCUGCACAGGUGUUUCGACAACUAAGCUGCAAUUUUGACAGACACUAUUUCACUGUCAAUUGUGCGGCCUGCAACAACUUGGACAUCUUUUAUUGAUUUUAUUGAGUACUUUAAUAACAUUUUAAUAAAAGCCAUUAUAUUUUAUUUCUAACAUUUCAAAAAAUUCUAUUUAAUAAGUAUGCAUUUUUCGUGUUUAGUUUUACCAAGAAGGAAAAUGCAUGCUAGAUAAACUACAUUUUUGUUUGAUUUUAUUUGUAAUCAAGGCUGAGGAACUGACCAGAUCAGAAAAAGAAAGUCAAUACCUGCUAAGUAUUCAACACAGUUUUCAACAGUGCUACUGAAAGCUACAGGAGAUACCAAGAGUCCCUCAGACAGGUCAGGGAUUGGCAAGAGUGGGGUCAUCAAGUUUCUGGAGUUUCAAUAAGAUAUUUGCUUUUUUCUUAUAUAUACAUAUUAGCUUUCUGCAUAAAAUUAUAUUAACAGAAACGCUAUUAAAGUUGUUUUUGAAAAACAACUGAACUACAGAAUGGUCCUGUUUGUUGGA